GGAUGAAUCUUCUACAAUGGGCUAACGCCCGAUAGAGCAACGCCGCGUGGAGGACGACGGCCUUCGGGUUGUAAACUCCUUUCGGGGGGAGUGAUACGGACAGUACCCCCAGAAGCAGCCCCGGCUAACUCUGUGCCAGCAGCCGCGGUAAGACAGAGGGGGCAAGCGUUGUCCGGAUUGACUGGGCGUACAGCGCGCGCAGGCGGGGGCGUAUGUGCCGUGUGACAGUCGGGAGCUUAACUCCCGCCGGCCACGGUAGACAGCGUCGU
rnacentral:rRNA from 1 species